GACGAACGCUGGCGGCGUGCUUAACACAUGCAAGUCGAACGGUAAGGCCCUUUCGGGGGUACACGAGUGGCGAACGGGUGAGUAACACGUGAGUAACCUGCCCUCAUCUCUGGGAUAACAGUCGGAAACGGUUGCUAAUACUGGAUAUGAGCUUGCAAGGCAUCUUGUGGGUUGGAAAGAUUUUUUUUGGUUGGGGAUGGACUCGCGGCCUAUCAGCUUGUUGGUGAGGUAGUGGCUCACCAAGGCUUCGACGGGUAGCCGGCCUGAGAGGGCGACCGGCCACAUUGGGACUGAGAUACGGCCCAAACUCCUACGGGAGGCAGCAGUGGGGAAUAUUGCACAAUGGACGGAAGUCUGAUGCAGCAACGCCGCGUGCGGGAUGACGGCCUUCGGGUUGUAAACCGCUUUCAAUUGUGACGAAGCUUUUUUGUGACGGUAGCAGUAGAAGAAGCACCGGCUAACUACGUG
rnacentral:rRNA from 1 species